rnacentral:tRNA from 1 species
UUCAGGUUGUGGCCGAAUUGUCGCGACGCUGGGACCUCGGGCGUCCGCGCAAGACCUUCAACGGCCUGAUUGUCAGCGGGCGCGUCGGUGAGCCCGGAGC